CCUACGGGAGGCAGCAGUGGGGAAUAUUGCACAAUGGGGGAAACCCUGAUGCAGCGACGCCGCGUGAGUGAAGAAGUAAUUCGUUACGUAAAGCUCUAUCAGUAGGGAAGAAACACUGACUUUACGGUUAUCAGACGGUACCUGAGUAAGAAGCCCCGGCUAACUACGUGCCAGCAGCCGCGGUAAUACGUAGGGGGCAAGCGUUAUCCGGAUUUACUGGGUGUAAAGGGAGCGUAGACGGUGGGACAUGUCUGGAGUGAAAUGCCGCGGCUUAACUGCGGAACUGCUUAGGAUACUGGCGAGCUAGAGAGCAGGAGGGGUAGGCGGAAUUCAUGGUGUAGCGGUGAAAUGCGUAGAGAUUAGAAGGAACACCGAUGGCGAAGGCAGCUUACUAGGCCAUAACUGACGUUGAGGCUCGAAAGCGUGGGGAGCAAACAGGAUUAGAUACCCGUGUAGUC
rnacentral:rRNA from 1 species